rnacentral:rRNA from 1 species
UACGUAGGGUGCAAGCGUUGUCCGGAAUUAUUGGGCGUAAAGAGCUCGUAGGCGGUCUGUCACGUCGGCUGUGAAAACCCGGGGCUCAACCCCGGGCCUGCAGUCGAUACGGGCAGACUAGAGUGCGGUAGGGGAGACUGGAAUUCCUGGUGUAGCGGUGAAAUGCGCAGAUAUCAGGAGGAACACCGGUGGCGAAGGCGGGUCUCUGGGCCAAUACUGACGCUGAGGAGCGAAAGCGUGGGGAGCGAACAGG